rnacentral:lncRNA from 10 species
CCUAAGGAAAACUACAGACUCUGGAUAUCUAGCAGCUGUCGAGGGACCAGGUCGAGGGACCUGGAAGGGGUUGCUGGCUGAUGACUGGGUGCCUGCUGAGAUGGGCUCCAUAUACAGCAAUUCUGUUCUAGGAACUCAAAGAAUAUUAAUUCAAGGCUGGGUGUGGUGGCACACACCUGUAAUCCCAGCACUUUGGGAGGCCA